rnacentral:lncRNA from 1 species
CUGCCUAGUAGCAAUUCGAAGUUCCCUUUUCCCUGGACCAGGUGAGUUCUUGAGGUCACUAACUUGAAAUAUAGUAUUGAUUCCACCAGGACUGAAAUCCAACUUCCUUAUACUCCUCUCCAAGAACUGAAUCCUCCAGCGCAAAAACUUGUUUCUCUUCUCCUCAUCUCCAAAGGUUUUGUUAUACAAUUCCUUAUUCUGAAACUCCCCAUACACAUUAUAACAAACAGGGUGUCCCUCUUUGUCAUGACCAUCCAUAAAGACAACUUUUUCAAGAUCAUCCCCAAGAUUUUCAUCUACCAAUUCCUCAAUGUUGAACUCCUUUCUCCAUAAAAUAGUGUUCUUUAACAUAGCAAAUGACUCCUUAACCUUGAAAUCUCUAGCUCUAAGAAACUUGAGCAGAAUGACAUCACUCCUUUCAUCUUUCAAUAGUGGCACUCCCCAAAUGAAUACUUCCUGAGGCAAAUCUGUUGUUGCAGUAGUAAAGGUCUGAUUUUGAAUAGCUUCUUGAACAAGAAGUUUAAGUUCUUCAACUGCUUUUCCCUCAGAAUCAGAUAGAUCUGAAACUUUGUUGCUUUCUUCUUUAAAUGAAACCAAUGAUUGAGGGAUCUUUUUCACUUCAUCAGAUUCAGUAGCUUCCUUCUCAGGAAGAGUAAGAGAUACCUGUUGAGCUGCAACAAGAGUUGUUGGUUCUGCUGGGGGUUCAGUCAAAGGGCCCUCCUUUUCAACUACAGUAACACUGGAGUGAUGCUCCUCAGCUUCUGCCACUGAUUCAACUUCAACUGAGGCAAGAGGUGGUUCAGGUGAAGGNACAUUCUCUGCCAUAAAUCACAUGAUAAACAAGUGCUUAUCAGCACUACUUGGUGAAUGGGCAAGCAGAUUUAGACAAUUUUCUAUCUGUUAAAAUCAUCACAUAGAAAGGCUCCAAAUCAACUGCACAAUACAGAAAUACAAAAGUUGAUUGGACAAUUAAAGAGUCAGAGUCAGUCACUACAGGAUUGUGAUACCUGCUUCGCGACAAACUCGGGAUAAUUAUCCUGAAGCAAUUGCAAGGCCUGCCUAGUAGCAAUUCGAAGUUCCCUUUUCCCUGGACCAGGUGAGUUCUUGAGGUCACUAACUUGAAAUAUAGUAUUGAUUCCACCAGGACUGAAAUCCAACUUCCUUAUACUCCUCUCCAAGAACUGAAUCCUCCAGCGCAAAAACUUGUUUCUCUUCUCCUCAUCUCCAAAGGUUUUGUUAUACAAUUCCUUAUUCUGAAACUCCCCAUACACAUUAUAACAAACAGGGUGUCCCUCUUUGUCAUGACCAUCCAUAAAGACAACUUUUUCAAGAUCAUCCCCAAGAUUUUCAUCUAC